CCUCAAACUUGUGUUGAAAGAACUCUAGGCGGUAAGCGUACAGCUUACCACCCAGCUCCACCAUGAAGAAUGUGAGAAGAGCCAAGCUCAGCAAGUGAACACCUUACCUCAGGAGCAAGGUGGCCAUGUUCCAACUGGAUCACAGACAGAUCGAUAAGCAGCUCUGCCAGAACAAAGAUGGCAUCCAGGAUUACCAGACACACCACCAACACCUGGAAGCAAAGCUAUAGCUCAUUGCCCUUAUCAACAGAUGCACUGAGAAGACUCGAGCGGUAUACCUGGAACCGCUCUGAGCCGUAGAGCCUCUGCAGUG